AAACACCAAAGAGCCAAUGUUACCUCACUGUAUCCCAGACCGACCCUGGCAGGUCGUGAACGACACCCCUCAAACACCAAAGAGCCAUAUGUUACCUCACUGUAUCCCAGACCGACCCUGGCAGGUCGUGAACGACGCCCCUCAAACACCAAAGAGCCAUAUGUUACCUCACUGUAUCCCAGACCGACCCUGGCAGGUCGUGAACGACGCCCCUCAAACACCAAAGAGCCAUAUGUUACCUCACUGUAUCCCAGACCGACCCUGGCAGGUCGUGAACGACACCCCUCAAACACCAAAGAGCCAUAUGUUAC